UACGGAGGGGGCAAGCGUUAUUCGGAAUCACUGGGCGUAAAGGGCGCGUAGGCGGCCGAUCAAGUCGGGGGUGAAAGCCUGUGGCUCAACCACAGAAUUGCCUUCGAUACUGUUUGGCUUGAGACCGGAAGAGGUAAGUGGAACUGCGAGUGUAGAGGUGAAAUUCGUAGAUAUUCGCAAGAACACCAGUGGCGAAGGCGGCUUACUGGUCCGGUUCUGACGCUGAGGCGCGAAAGCGUGGGGAGCAAACAGG
rnacentral:rRNA from 1 species